ensembl:lncRNA
UUUUCUCGUUUUUCUUCACGUUCACGGACGGCAGUUUCGAACAGAGAGCACGCGAAUACUACCCUCACCCCCCCCGCCCGUCGGUCGGUCCGCCAGCAACGAAUAUCCCCCCCGCCGCGUUAUUCCGCCGAUCUUCUUGACCGAGCACACAGCGAGUCUGCUGCGGAAGGUGCGCUGGUCCUGCAACCCGACUGGAGAGACUGAGCUGCCCCAGAGCCUCUGAAGGGUCCUGGUCCUCCUGCUCAGGAGUCUCUGUGAUGCGGCCCUGGCUCGGCGUGUUGCGAUGAUCCAGCAUGGCCAAGUACGGAUCCUGUCGUGCUGCUGAAGCCUUCAGCAUCAGGCGCUUGGCUGUCUUCACCGCUGACUCCGCUUUCCUGUUACUCUGCGGGUAUCCUGGCAACGAUGUCCUGUGUUCAAAGUCCCACUUUCGGCUGAAGUUGUCACGGUGAGAGGAGUGGAUCCUGUGAGUGAUGUCCACCCUGAAUGCGUCAGGUAUCGCGGCUCUGUCCCCUCGGAACACUAUGUCAUCCUGGAAACUCAUCUUGGAAGGUGUGGUAGUGCCUGAUGUCACUUGCCCUGAUGGCACUCAGCCUCUCUGCUGAAAUGGGGGAAGGUUAUUCAGGAGCAGCAUGCAUAUCUGAAAAGAAAACACAAGAUGGUCCAGCUUCAAAGAAACCACAGCUGUUGUGAAUUUGAGAAAAGCUUUUCUUUCUGUGACGCAUGAAAAGAUCUCAGCAAGUUCUUCCUGUUCUACCCCACUCGUCUUAAACUGGGUUACAUAUGUGCGGUGAGAAUGAAUCAACCGUAUUGCUUUAGUUAUGUUUGCUUUCAACUCCAAAUAAACUAUAAUUCCGCAGAGCUUGUCAAUUGUAGAUUGUGCUGAUUGCGAAGGCCAUUUUGGUAAAGCGAGUUCUACUAUAGGGAUAAAUAAAUGUUGCUUGACUAGUGUAAAUCCACCCAUCAUCCUUCAGAAUUCUACAAUUUAAUAUUUAUUCCUGAAACCCAGAUGUCAUCCUUCUGACGCAAGUUUUAUGACCCUUUAUUUAGUUGAAUCAACAACAAGGUUGAAAUAGACGUGUAGAAAAAAAAUACAUGAGUAAAGCAUCUCCCACUGUCAGUGGGUGGAAAACAAUUCAUGACAUGCAGGAAAAUGCAAAGCCAUGAAUAACAUGUUCUAUUAAGAGAGUGUUUUCAGGAUGACGUGUUUGUGUUGGCCAACCCUAGAAGCUAGUGUCCUGCAUCAAGCAUUGGAUAUGUUUUUUUCACAAAUUAACUGCACUAAUAUUUUUGGAGCGGGAUACCAUCUAAAAAGUAAAGUUAGGUAGGUAAAGUUAGGUAAAAAAAGUAAAAAGAUGACACACUAAACUUUUGAACUAUAGUCUCGUAAACUUGAGUUUCCUCAACAGGGCUGUAAAGGCAGACUAGUUGGUGUGAUGUCUUUGGAGUCUUAUUUGGCCCCUUUAUACGGGUAUACAGGUAAAAAAUUCAUGAAUGAGGUAUUUACUGACUUUUUUAAUAUUACAGAACAGAUGCUAUUAAAUAUCUUCAGCAUGUUAACAACAAGCCUUCUUUCAGGCAUCUAACCAAAAGAAAGAUUCAAAAGAGGUUUAAACAAACAAAACAAAAGGGAAAAGAGAACUAGAGGUGUAAAACGCAGGUUAUUCUUUUUAAGGCUUUAGUACUCUUUCCUGCAGUCUUCUGUUGGUAUUAUGUAAAUAAAAUAGGUGAAUGGAAACACAUUUAAUGUAACUGCUAUUGAAAAACAGUCAGACAAGAUUCUACCUAUUCUACCUAAAUAUUCUCACAGAGGGCCAUUGGAGGAUAGAAUCUGUCUGGGACCUUUGGCACAGCCCCCACCUGUCCGUUCUUUAUUUCUUUCUGACUCUCACUCACACGCAGACAAAACAGGUGUUUUCAGUAGUUCUACACAAAACAUCUUCAAAUAAAUCUUUAAAUUUACACUGUAAUCGUGAACCAACUUGAAAUUAAAAUCAGAUGAAAGAGAAUCUAAUGUUUACAGUUGUAAAAAAUUCAGAAAUUGCACCGACCUUUCCACACCACAGGCUUCUUAACAUGCAACUAUUUGCGCCACACUGAACCUAAGGGUAACAAGAAACCAGUUCUACCUGUUAUGAUCACACCUGCCUAGGGCUCUAAACUUGCCCUGGACAAUAAGGUCAACGGGGUGGAUGCUACGCCCAAC